AGCGAACGCUGGCGGCAGGCCUAACACAUGCAAGUCGAACGGCUCUUCGGAGCAGUGGCGGACGGGUGAGUAACGCGUGGGAACGUGCCCUUUGGUUCGGAACAACACAGGGAAACUUGUGCUAAUACCGGAUGAGCCCUUCGGGGGAAAGAUUUAUCGCCAUUGGAGCGGCCCGCGUUGGAUUAGGUAGUUGGUGGGGUAAAGGCCCACCAAGCCGACGAUCCAUAGCUGGUCUGAGAGGAUGAUCAGCCACACUGGGACUGAGACACGGCCCAGACUCCUACGGGAGGCAGCAGUGGGGAAUCUUGCGCAAUGGGCGAAAGCCUGACGCAGCCAUGCCGCGUGAAUGAUGAAGGUCUUAGGAUUGUAAAAUUCUUUCACCGGGGAAGAUAAUGACGGUACCCGGAGAAGAAGCCCCGGCUAACUUCGUGCCAGCAGCCGCGGUAAUACGAAGGGGGCUAGCGUUGCUCGGAAUUACUGGGCGUAAAGGGCGCGUANGCGGACAGUUUAGUCAGAGGUAAAAGCCCAGGGCUCAACCUUGGAACUGCCUUUGAUACUGGCUGUCUUGAGUUCGGGAGAGGUGAGUGGAAUGCCGAGUGUACAGGUGAAAUUCGUAGAUAUUCGGCGGAACACCAGUGGCGAAGGCGACUCACUGGCCCGAUACUGACGCUGAGGCGCGAAAGCGU
rnacentral:rRNA from 1 species